rnacentral:snRNA from 1 species
GUGCUUGCUUUAGCAGCACCUAUACUAAAAUUGAAUGAUACUGAGAUUAGUGUGACCCUGGCCAAGGAUAGCAGGCAAAUUUGUGAAGCACUCCAUAAAAAA